rnacentral:tRNA from 1 species
AGGUAAAGUGGCCGAACAGGUGUUGAACUGUAGUUUCAAUCAUAAAGGUUAAAUCCCUUUCUAUACCAA